rnacentral:rRNA from 1 species
UACGUAGGGCGCAAGCGUUUAUCCGGAAUUAUUGGGCUAAAGAGCUCGUAGGCGGUUUGUCGCGUCUGCCGUGAAAGUCCGGGGCUCAACUCCGGAUCUGCGGUGGGUACGGGCAGACUAGAGUGAUGUAGGGGAGACUGGAAUUCCUGGUGUAGCGGUGAAAUGCGCAGAUAUCAGGAGGAACACCGGUGGCGAAGGCGGGUCUCUGGGCCGAUACUGACGCUGAGGAGCGAAAGCGUGGGGGAGCGAACAGG